AACGAACGCUGGCGGCAUGCCUAACACAUGCAAGUCGAACGAGACCUUCGGGGCUAGUGGCGCACGGGUGCGUAACGCGUGGGAACCUGCCCUUAGGUUCGGAAUAACUCCCCGAAAGGGGUGCUAAUACCGGAUAAUGUCUUCGGACCAAAGAUUUAUCGCCUUUGGAUGGGCCCGCGUUGGAUUAGCUAGUUGGUAGGGUAAAAGCCUACCAAGGCGACGAUCCAUAGCUGGUCUGAGAGGAUGAUCAGCCACACUGGGACUGAGACACGGCCCAGACUCCUACGGGAGGCAGCAGUGGGGAAUAUUGGACAAUGGGCGAAGGCCUGAUCCAGCAAUGCCGCGUGAGUGAUGAAGGCCUUAGGGUUGUAAAGCUCUUUUACCCGGGAUGAUAAUGACAGUACCGGGAGAAUAAGCUCCGGCUAACUCCGUG
rnacentral:rRNA from 1 species